rnacentral:lncRNA from 10 species
GUGAUAGGCUCUUUACUGGCAACUGGGCAGCAAAUGAUCCAGCUCUAAAAUCCCAUCCCAGCCUCUGCUUUCUUGACCACUUGUGGCACUAACUGUUGUAAGUUGAGUUCCCUUGGAGGUGGAUCCUGAGAUAGAGAAUAGCAUGAAGGUGAAUUGUUAAGACAUAAUCGUCAAUCGACACCUUUGGAAAGGAAGGGAGGAAAACAGGAUUUGGCAGAGAAAAAAGUUGUGCUGCACCAUAGUCUCAAAGGAGGCCUCAGCUGACUCCAGAGUGAGUUCUGCAACUAGGAUGUCCCUUAAGAGUUGUCCCGAGCUGGGGGGGAGUGCUAUAUCUAUUUUGUAGAGUAAACAAUUGAACCUUGCCCAAAGAGAAGUUUGGCUUUAGACCACAGCUCCUGGGAAGUUAUUCCUAAGCCCUUGGAGUAUCCUGCCUGAUAAAAGUGUCCUUGUUCAUCUAAGGGCCUUGGGCCUCAGAAGAUGGUCUAACAAUGUGAUUUAUUGUGGGUGCUCUGAAUCAUGAGGUACCAGCUCAACCUCCAGACAGACUGGCAACUAAGGUCAGCCACGUGGGCAGUCAAUCAUGUCUAUGUGAUGGAGCCCCACAUAAAGACUCUGGAUACCAAAACACAGGUCCCACCACUAGAAUGUAAACUCCACAUGGUCAGAGAGCAUGUUUUAUUUCUCUCCAGUGCCCAAAUAAUGCCUAACUCAUGCUAACUGACUGCUUAGUAUAAAGCAGAAUAUUUUAAAGAUGGCUUUUCUGGAAAAUAAUCUUGGAUUUAUUUGAGAUAAGAAGGUCAAAUGAAGGUUUAAGAUAGCUGAUUGAAGAAAAGUGUUCACCUGGUCUCAUUCCCUAAGUUCCAUUGAAAUGGUAGAGAAAAUGCACAAACAAAAAUGAAUUUUAACAGAAAUGAAAAACCAAGAGAAUUGCCACUAGGAUAUCAGAACUUUGGGAAUUUCCUAGAAAAAGCAGAUGGAAACAGACCUAAAGAUUCACAUGGAAAUAAGGACAAAUGAGAAGCCCUCCAAUAAAGGACUCUUAAAAAAAAAAAAAAAAAAAAAAAGCCCAUGAUCAGAGGCAGUAGGAAUGAAAGAAGAACUAGGAGAUGGGCCUAGACACUGAUUUUAAAAGAGUAAAAUAACUCUGUCCAUGUUCUGAUAAAGCACCUAAUGCUGUCUUUUGACCUCAGCUACUGCUCUGCUGUGUGAGAAUUUUCACGCAGCAGACUCUCAGAGUAGACACUGGGGCUUGAACAAAGUAAUUUCCCCAAUAAUUUUGUGCUGCCUCAGGGGAAGAAACGAAACUUCCACCGAAGACAAACUACUGGUCAUCCUAAAGGAAAGCACAGCCUACCAGGGCCCAUAACAGCUCUGCACUCCAGAACCACCCCAACACCGCCCAUCUGAACUAUAUCCAUUGCCAAGAGAAAAAGAAAUUUUCAUGUGCACUAGGAAAACAUUUCUGAGCUGUUGGUUCUGUUCAUUUACAGACAUUUAUCUGAAAAUAUGAACUGUCAUGAAGUAUUUUCAAACAUUCAACAGAAAUCAAUAGCCAAUAGAAUGAAGGAACAGAGGGAUGGAAGAAUGGAGAGACAAAAGAGGAAAGAAAGAAAACAAUAGUUUCAGCAUGUCUGGAAGAAGCUCUGAACUCCAGAGAUUAAGGGAAAAUCCUAAACAUCAAUAGGGAGGAAAAAAGUAGGCUACAUUCGUAAGAAUAAGGUUUCUCAGGAACUGGGAGCUAGAGCACAAUGGAACAAUGUCUUCAAUGUUCUUGUGAAAUAUGAUGAAUCAAAAAUUCCAGACUCUACUAGCAUUUAAGUAUUUGGACAAAAUAAAGACAUUUUCAUAUCUCUGCAUACUCAAUGUUUAAAACGCAGGCCAGGAUUCCUUUCCUUUUCCAAGAAAAUGGCUUACAAUUUGUAUGAGCAUAUAUUAAAAUGGAAAUUGAAUUUAAGAAAGAGAAGGGAUUUUUUUAAAAUAAUGGGUAAAAAUAAACCAUAAAUGUAUAGUAAUGCUAAAUAAAUCUAAAUAACCUGACUGUUAACGUUAAACAACUUUCUAGAGAGAAAUAGAGAGUCACACACCAGGUCUUAAAUGCUUGACUUGGAGGUGGCACACAUCAGUUCUGCUUAGAGCCCACCAUUCAGAACUAGUUCACAGACCCAUCUAACUGCAAGGGGCCGGGAAAUGUAGGAAAGGACAGGAAUACUGUAUUAGAUGAGUAUUAAAUGUCCUCACCAUAGUUCAUAAUAAUUUUAUCUUCUCAAUGGAACAUGCCUUUCAACAGCAUGUUAUAUCCUCCUUUGACCAUAUAAUGGUUUUUAUGUUGGAAUCAAUUUUCUUAGAAAUUAAGAUUGGCCCAUCUACCUUUCAUGGUUAUACAUUGCCUGGAAUAAUUUUAUCCAUCCUUUUAUUUUCAAUCUUUCUAUGUUGUUUCAUUUUGUGUGUUCCUUGAAAACAUCAAGUAACUGGAACUUGUUCUCUAAGUGUCUGUACCUUUUAAUAGUUUAUUUUAAUCUAACCACCUUCAUUUUGAUAACUGAUAUUUUGUAACUGAUUAUUGUUCUCAUUCCUAUCUUAUUUUUUCAUUUUUCAUUUUCUUUUUUUAAAAUCUUUGCAUGUUUCUUUUUUCUUCUCUUAUUUUUACUGAUUAAAGAAAUUUUCUGUUUCCUUUUUUGUGCUAGUGGUUUGGAAAUCACAUGUUCUAUUUCCACUUUUCUCAAGAUUGAAUUUAUGCUAAAUACAUGUGCUUAAAAUAUUUUAAUUAAAUGUUGAAAAACAUUUGUAUUAAUAAGCUCUUCUUGAAACAAGACAAAAUGCUUAUCAUGCUUCAAUUCCAGUUUUCCUUUGCUCCCUCCUGUGUUUAUUGAAAACAUUUGAAAUUCUUUUUCCUGCAUUUAUUAUUAUUUUAAAGUCAGGCCUUUAUUUACUAAUAAACCAUUCUUGAAAUUGUCAACUAGGGUUUAUUCUAGGAGUACAACAAAGGUUCAAAUUUAGACCUUUUGUUACUGCAACUCACUAUAUUAGUAAACAAAAUGUGUUAACUUGAUUAAAAAGACAUAGCAAAUGUCAUACUUGAGGGUGGAACAGUAGAAGCAUUUGAUUAAAAUUCAUACCAGAGAAGGAUGAUACACAGCAUUAUUCUUGAGGUUCUAAUCAAUGCAAUUUGAUAAGGAAAGUGAAUAAAUUCUUAGUAUUGGAGAAAAAGAGACAAAACUGCCAUUACUUUCAAAUGAUAUGCUUAUCUAUUUUCUUUAAAAAUCAAAGAAAGUAAGUCAAAAAACACAAAGAACCAAUAAGAAGGUUCAGUAAGGUAGCCAAUUACAAUAAGAUCAACAGAUAGAAACUCAAUAAUUUUCUACAUCAGAAAAACAACUUAAUAGAAAUUGAAAUGCAAUUUUAAAAUCCCCAGAGCAAUAAAAGCUAUAAAAUACUUAGAAAUAACCAAAUAAAGACAUGCAUAAACUUAUGAAGAAAAUGAUUUUACUGAAAACAAAUUUCCAAAUAAAUGAGACUAAAUUUUGUAAAAUGUCAAUUCUCUCAUAAUUAAUUUAUAAAAGCAGCGAAAUGCCAGUCAGAAUUUCAAUAGGCUUUUUUUAUGAGACUUGAAAAGCUGAAUGUAAAAUUCAACUAGGAGGGCAAAUACAUUAAAAAAAAAAACAGUGAAAAAUGACAGGAAUUCUGCAGUGUGAUAUUGGCAUCAGACUAAAUCAUGGAAUAGAAUAGACAGUUUCGGAAACCAAAUAUAAAUUUAAUACAUGAUAAAGAAAGAAGUAACUAGACAAUGCCUAAUGUUGGGACAAACAGCUAUCCAUUUGGAGAAAAGAUAUAAAAUUAGAGUCUUACCUUGUACUAUAUGUAAGAAUGAAUCCUGUUUGGAUUAAAGAUCAACAUAUUAAAAAGUUAUCAAAGAAAGUUUAAGAUAAGAAUUUUAUGAUGUUGAAGAAUGCUUUCCUCAGCAAAAUACAAAAAAAAAAGGUAUCAAUAAUAAAAGGAAAGGCUACUGAUUUGAUGACUCACAAAUUUAAAACAUCUCUAAGGCAAACACCACCAUAAACAAACUUGAAAGAAAAGCAACAAACCAAAAAGAAAUAGUUGCAUCAUAAUAAAGUUACUACCCAUUCUUACCAUAAAAAUUGGUAAGAACAAUUUCUUUUAAAGGGAAAGGAGGCUGGGCUUCCUUUCCUUUUUAAAGAAAAUGGAAGACUGAGGUUGGAGGAUUGCUUAAGCCCAAGAGUUUGAGAUCACCCUGGGCAACAUGGCUAAACCCCGUCUCGCAGGGCACAGUGGAGCACACCUGUAAUUCUGCUACUUGGGAGGCUGAAGUGGGAGGAUCCCUUGAGCCUGGGAGGUCAAGGCUGCAGUGAGCCAUGAUCAAGCCACUGCACUACAGCCUGGGUGACAGAGAGAGACCCUGUCCCCAAAAUAAAUAAAUAAAUAAAUAAAUAAAUAAAUAAAGGAAAGGAGAUAUGAUUAGGCAAUUAAGAAGAAACAAAAAUGGCAAAUUAACAUGAGAAAGAAUAUGCAACCUAACUAGGAAUCAGAGAAAUGAAUAUUAAAGCAAUAUAACGAUAUCACUCCUUUAACUCUCAGAUCAGCAACAUUUUAAAAGAUUGAUAUUAUUUAUUUAUGGAAAGAAUAUGGCAAGAUGAAUAACACACAUUCUGGUGGAAUUUAACUCAGCACAGGCUUUUUGGUGGCCAGCUUGACAUUAUCUGGUCAAAUGUGUGGACAUUGGUCUAUUCUACUUCUGAGAAUGGAUCCUGUGAAAUACACACAUGGCCCAAGCCAAGCCACAUGCACUAGCAUAUUUAUUGAUCUUUUUUUAUUGGGAUGUAGCCUAAUGUCCAUCAAUAGAAAAAUGGUUACAGCAGUUGUCCUGCAAUGCAAUCACUAAGACAAUUGAGGUAGAGCCAUACGUACCCAGAUGGAAAGAGUUCUAAGACACAUUUUUAGGAGAAAAAAACAAAUCAAGGAUAAAUAGCUGGAACUCAUUCAUCUUCUUAAAGCUACAUAUAUGUACGUUUUGUAUCUACAUAUAAAUGCACAGAAAAAGGUCUGACUAACACAAAUCAAAUGGUUAGAAAUGGUUACCUACAGGAGGUGCUUCAACUUAUUAUUCAAUACAGUAUAUAACUGUACAGUAUAAAUUUUUACAGGAAGCAAGUAUUCACAUAUUACUUCUAUAAUUUUUUUCUAAGUUAAGAUCGAAUAUCUUCAGACUUCCCUGUUUCAAUGCUAGCUUUGAGAAGGAGCCACUCUAAGGAGUCCUCUCCUUAGAGCUCACAUUCAUGCAGGGAAGGCUGCUAAAGGCACAUGGCAUUGUGAACAGAGCUGAAAACUUGACUCCAAACUUUAUCUUGCUUUCCUGUUUUCUUUUCCCAUUGAUUGUUUGUAUCUGACUAUUUUGCACAUGUAUCUGUAAGUGCCCUUCAAUCCUUAUGGAAAAUAUCAGUAACUUCCAUGAACAGUAAAGGGUCCCAGCCUGGAGCCCUGGGAUCUGGUACACACGGGCGCUCUCAGUAGCUGUGAAAUCUGGAAUAAGUCCCAGCUUCUGCAUGCCUCGUUUUCUUCAUCUGUGAAAUGCAGUGGCUGGCCCAGUGCUCUCAAAGUCCCUUUCCUGUUCUUAGCCUUUAGGUUUUGUGUGCUCUGCUGGGCUCCUUCUUCUCUCCACAUCCUAAAGGCACUGCAGCAGGAAAGUGUGACUGCUCAGCCCCUUCCAUCAGCUCAGAUCACUGAGAUUCGACUGUCUCCCCAUGUGGGCCAGGGGCUGGUGAGGAAUUAAGAAUUCACACAGAAAAUCACUUUGAUUUCCCCCGCAGCACUAUUCAUUUGGGAGACACAUCUCUGAUAGUUUAUGCCCAAAGCCUCUUUAUGAGAGUCUAGAAUGGUUCUAGCGCCAGCAGUCACAGUGACCCACCAACUCAAGCCAGGUGUCCCCUCUUGGGAGCAAACUGUCUCUGGUUGGUUUGCCUUUGUCAAUAAAAU